UCUAGUUUGCGAAAAUUUUGCUAAAGCAAAAUGGGUGCCAUUUUCGAAAAAUUAAGGGGUUUGCCCUGUUGUAGAAAAUUUUUAAUUUGGGAGAGCACAAGGCAGUGGGGUUUUCGCGCCCACGUGGAACUUAGGCGUGGGUUUGCAAAGCAUUAAGAAUUUACAAAAAAAAUUAAAAAAAAAAAGCCAAACUCGAUGCCCCUUUUCCCAUUCUCCUUCUCGUCUCUUUCAUCUCACUGAACCUCGGUUGCCAUAACCACCAUCACUACCAACUACCACCACCUUGCAGCCAUCUCCAAAGAACCCAAAACCCCGAGCCCCACAACCACAAACCCAACCUCAAUCUGAGCCUCCCAAGCACGAUUCCGACACCCAGCUCCGAGCAUCCCCGUAUGCAGAACCACGAGAGCCCCAAUCUUGGACGUGUGAACCCAGUCGCGAACCAACUAUGCCAUCUACAUGAAACCCAAGCAUGUGAGCCUAUCUCCGAUAGUCUCUAGCCGUAUACACUAAGUUUGCGAGCCUCUGAACCCAGCACCCCAAUCCGAAGAACUUAGGCGCACAAGUUUUGCCUUCGUGAGCCCCAGAUCUUUGCGAGUCCUGGCACGCAAGCACAGGUGCAUUUACGCACCUGCCAUCCAGGUGAGAGCCCUGCCCCAUCUGUGUGAGCCCCGUCGACAAGCAUCGAACCCUAAGCCCAGGCACAAUUCCAGGCGCGCAUGACCCCAUGCCUCUCGUGCGUACGAGCUAUGGCGUGACCCUCAAGGUGUCACGAAAUCCAAUGAACCUAGACACAGCUGGUCACCAUCUCAAAGUCGUGGACCCAUGCGAUUCCAGCACCUCAAUCACCCCCAUCUAAGCACUCAACCUCGAGACCCUUCACGUGCAACCCCAAGAGUGUAGCUCAAUCUUAGACCCAAAACCGAGUAAUUCAGUUUAAUCAUGGGUGGACGGACAUAUUGCUUGGUUGUUCGAUUCUGUUAUGUUAAUGGUGAUAUGUGAUUUGUGAGCCCCCAUGGCCACUUUUGUCCAAAUUUUGACCCCAAAAGGCAACCACUAAGUCGCGUGAUUAGAAUAGAAACUCACCAAUUCCUCAACUCCGCCACCAACCAAAAAGAAGGCCUUCGCUGUAAAUUGAUCCUAUCCUUUCGGAUGACAAUUCCAAAGGAUAGGCAGGGGAUUUUUCUUAUCUCAACUAAUUUUCAUUUAUUUACUUUGUUGUUUUGUGUAUUUCUUUUGUUGUGUGGCUGUAACUUUGUUGUCUUUGUUUCUCUUUGUGUAAUUGUCUUGUUUUAGGUAUUGCUUGUUAUAGUUAUUAUGUUGUUUUGAGGAUAUACUUUAUUUUUGUUAGCAUUCACUAGGGGGGUUCGAUGACGAUCUUGAAAAUGCUUAAAAACAAAUCAAAUAAAAUUAAGUUGAAGUUGAAUGUCACUCUUGCUUAGGUUUUACACUAAAUUCUUUGGGUGUGAAUGUUACUAGAAAUUAAUUGAUGAGAGUGUUUUUCUUUUUAGUGUGUGCAUAGCUUGAUUAAGUAUUUUUGAGACCCAGUACGAGCUAGAUUCUUGUGAGAGCUAAGUUUCUAGAAUUACUUAGUGGUUUUCCUUAAGGGCGAAAUCCUAGACAUCACCACACUAAUGACAUGAUUUAGGCCAUCUUUGGAUUGUUUGAGCCUUUUAAGCCUACCCUUUAUGCAUUUUUAUCCCUAGUCAUCUCGUUGAGCUUAAUAGACAAUUUUCUUUAUUAGCCACGCAUUACCUUAGAAAGAUAUAAUAACCUCCUUUCACCAUACCCGUUUAGCACAUUUAGUUUGUAGUUUUUUUAUCAUUAUUCGAAAUGAAAAGUAGAAAAAUCAAUAAAAAAAAUUAGAUUGCACUCCCUUGAAUCAAAGGAAAGUUUUGUGAAAAAAAAUUCAGAAAAAAAUCAAGAAAAGAAAAAGACAAAAAGAGUAAUCAAGUAUGUUUGUAAAUAAGUUUGGGGUGUAACUCUUUGAAUAAAAGAAAAUUAUAUUUUAGUUUUCAUCCUUGUAUGUUAGUAAUAACGGCUAGUGGCAAGAGUUAUAAUUUGUUGUGGGAUGUUCUUUUUGGGGAAAUUGAUGUGUGGUUUGAUUUUGGUCCUAGAAAGAUUGAGGUGCUUAGGGUGAUUUGAGCCAAAAAUAAUCUCUCUUAUCCUAUCUUCACCCUAGCCUAUCAUUACAAGCUUGAUAAAGUCCUAUUGAUCUUUGGUGUGGUUUUUGUCUACAUUAGUGGAGAGAGAAUCACUAAGUAACUUAUGGAGACACUAGUUAAGCUUUAGGACCAAGACCUAGUUUGAAUUGGGUGAUUGAAAGUGUUUAGGAAAAGCUAUACAUGCACUAAAGGGAGAAACACUUGACUCAUAUUUUAACAACAACAUUAAUACUUGAAGAUUUUGGUUUAAGGCUUGUGAAAGUUUGAAAUUCAGUUUCUCUUAUUCAAAAAUAAAAUCCCUCGAGCUUUCCUUUUUUCUAAGCAUUGGCAAAGCAAAGUUUAUCAUCUCUUGUUGUGUCUUGUUUUUGUCGUAUUUUUUUUUCUUUCAAAUUGUGUUGUCUUUUGAUGUCUUUUUAGAUUCAUCACUCAAGGACAAGCAAUAUCAUAAGUUUAGGGGAUGCGAUAACUCUUGAAUAAAGAGUUAUUUUUAUACAUUCAAGCUUAUAAAUGAAAAAUUAGGUUGAGUAAUGUUGGUUUAUUAUUGUUAUUUUUAGUUAAUUUCUUUUCCUUUUUAUGUUCUUGUGUCCUUUUUGGUUUUUAAGAGCUGAAAGUAUACAAAUAAGAAGUUUAUGCAUGAAUUUUUCCAAAGAAAACAAGAAAAAGUGAAACGACUCUUAGUUGUUCAAUUUGUGAUGAAAUGUCAGGUUUUGCUGGAGCAAAAGAAAUUUUGCUAAAGCAUUUUCAGCAGGAUACAAAGAGGGAAAUUCAGCAUAUAAAGGAGAGACAUGUGGCACCAUUAAUUGAGUUGGCAAGAGUGAUGAGGUGGCAAAAAAAUAAGAGAAAAUGGACUGAAUUUUGGAGUACUUUCUAGAAGAGAAAAGAAAACUCACAUGAGAGGCAAUGAGGGGCAUUUUUGGGGCAUGAGGAAAAAGGGUUUUAUCACCCUAGCAUCAUAAAAAGAAGAUAACCUCCAUUACCCAAUUCAACAAUCUUUUAGAGAGAGAACCGCCAUGUACAAGGAGACUUCAGCAGUACAAAGAAGGAAAGGGAGAAAAGAAGAAGAGGAGAAGAAGAGAAUAUUCAUUCCAUCAUCAUUUUGGGCUAUUUCUUCUCUUUGUUUGUUCCUUUCCUAUCUUCUCUAGUAUUUUGUGAUUGAUUACUCAUGGACAAAUUUGAAUUUGCAUUUGUGUUUCUUGAUUUAGCCAUGAAUUAGAUAUUUUGAGGCAUGAUUUAUUAAUGAACUCUAUGUCUUGAUUCUAAAA